rnacentral:rRNA from 1 species
CCUACGGGAGGCAGCAGUGGGGAAUUUUGGACAAUGGGCGAAAGCCUGAUCCAGCCAUUCCGCGUGAGUGAAGAAGGCCUUCGGGUUGUAAAGCUCUUUCGCAAGGGAAGAAAACUUACAUUCUAAUAAAGUGUGAGGCUGACGGUACCUUGAUAAGAAGCACCGGCUAACUACGUGCCAGCAGCCGCGGUAAUACGUAGGGUGCGAGCGUUAAUCGGAAUUACUGGGCGUAAAGCGUGCGCAGGCGGUUUUGUAAGUCAGAUGUGAAAUCCCCGAGCUCAACUUGGGAACUGCGUUUGAAACUACAAGACUAGAAUAUGUCAGAGGGGGGUAGAAUUCCACGUGUAGCAGUGAAAUGCGUAGAGAUGUGGAGGAAUACCAAUGGCGAAGGCAGCCCCCUGGGAUAAUAUUGACGCUCAUGCACGAAAGCGUGGGGAGCAAACAGGAUUAGAUACCCUGGUAGUCCACGCCCUAAACGAUGUCUACUAGUUGUUGGUGGAGUAAAAUCCAUGAGUAACGCAGCUAACGCGUGAAGUAGACCGCCUGGGGAUACGGUCGCAAGNUUAAAACNCAAAGGAUUGACGGNUGAGAGNGCGAGACGACGACGAGGGAGGAGG